GGUGACAGUGAAGUUCUAGUGUAACACGACACUGUUUUGUCCAAUGAGUUUGGAUUGAUGUUUGCACGGGACCACAGUGCAUGCUCAGUAAGGUGUCCCUAAGGUGUCCCUAAGGUGUCCCUAAGGUGCCCUUUUAUGAGCAUUUCUCAUUUAGUUCAUCUUUCCAUUAUACAGCAUCAAAUCACAUUGAAUACAUGACCUUCAGUAAAACUACUGAAAGUCGAGGUUUGACAGUAGUUCUGCUGUAGUUAACAAAUCAAAGAUUAUCUUACAAAGUCCUGCUUCUUAACUCCCACUCUCCUGGUCCAUAAACAAAAAGUCACCAUCUGUGUUCACCUCCACGAAUUAACCAAGAAUAGGUGAAUAGUUUUGAUAGUUGUGUGGACAAAACGAUUACCACUUGUCUUACUCUUCUGUUGUGAAGAGUAGAAGCUUCCUUAUUCACAGCCUAAAACACAAACUUACCAACCAGUGCAAUGUUACAUUCUGGUUUCCUAAUUUUUUCAGGUAUUAUUAUACAAUAUUCUAUCUUUCAUAAAGCCUUAAGAUUGGUUUGAUUAGGGUUUCCAAGGGGUUUAAGACGCUCAGCCGUGAUUGAAUUGGCCUUGGUUCAAGUCCAGCCUCGCCAUCCCAGAUCACCAAUGUCAAAUAAAGACUGAAGUUCUCCCACAAACAUUUAAGAUAAAGCGAGAGUUUCUCAAAUCUUUGGCCGUAUAGUUUGCUUUUAAUCUUUUU